CCCCCAGCCCAAAAUCGCGGGCGAGCACAUCCAGAUCGUCCAUCCGAAUAAAUCAAACAGCGGCAGAUCUAAUCUGAAAAUCGACCCCAGCCAGCAACAAAAUUUGGCUGGAUCCGGAAAAAAUCGAGCGAAAUCGGAUGUGCGAAAUGCUUCAAUCAGAUGGACUGCUCCUUCAUUAUGAGUGGAUGCUCAUCCGAGUGAUGAUCGCGGUCACAAUUAAGCCUUCGACACAGGAAAAUCUAAACCUAUAUGCACAGAAAAUGGUGUAUGUAUAGGCAGAAAUGUGGUGAUUAGUGGCAAUUCACUGUUGUUACUUGGGAAAUGG
rnacentral:lncRNA from 1 species